GACGAACGCUGGCGGCGUGCUUAACACAUGCAAGUCGAGCGGAAAGGCCACUUCGGUGGUACUCGAGCGGCGAACGGGUGAGUAACACGUGAGUAAUCUGCCCCUCACUUUGGGAUAGCCACCGGAAACGGUGAUUAAUACCGGAUAUGACCAUAUGUCGCAUGGCGUGUGGUGGAAAGUUUUUCGGUGAGGGAUGUGCUCGCGGCCUAUCAGCUUGAUGGUGAGGUAAUGGCUCAUCAUGGCUUCGACGGGUAGCCGGCCUGAGAGGGUGACCGGUCACACUGGGACUGAGACACGGCCCAGACUCCUACGGGAGGCAGCAGUGGGGAAUAUUGGACAAUGGGCGGAAGCCUGAUCCAGCAACGCCGCGUGAGGGAUGACGGCCUUCGGGUUGUAAACCUCUUUCAGUACCGACGAAGCGCAAGUGACGGUAGGUACAGAAGAAGCACCGGCCAACUACGUG
rnacentral:rRNA from 1 species